rnacentral:lncRNA from 1 species
AUUGGCCAAGUCCCGCCUGCCCCUGUCCGGACGCGCGGCGGACGCAGGGGUGGGGAAGCCGCACCCUCCGGGCUCCAGGAGGGCCAAUGAACCGACGAUCGGAGCACUGGGGACGGAAUGAAGAGAACGUCUGGAAAGGGACUGUGGGGGCAGACGUGCCAAUGAGAGAGAAAGGGGUGGGGUAGGGCGGCUGACGCCCGGUUUAGGCGGAGAGCGCCGGGCAGAGGGGGAGGGGGACGAAGCUGGUGGCGAAGCGGCUCAGGAGAACCGGGGCUGGAGGAGCGGCAAGAGUACCCAGAAAGUGCCCUCUCCGCGGGGGUCUGCGGCCAAGGAGGAUCCUGCUCGUGGAAUAGCUACCAAAUCGGCCUCCAGCCCACCCCAGGGGCGGGGUAGAGAAAGGGCAAACUGUGACCGGGACUUGUGCACCCGAUUAAUUGAAUAUUAAUCACCCCAAGGCCUAGGCCAACCGCCACCCAGAGAGUGGCAGCUGCAGAACCCAAAGACGUGGAGCCGGGCUGGGGGUGGGGAAGGGAGGCCGCCACAGCUCCCGCCCCGCCGGCAGUUUAACUGCUUCCGCAGCCUCAGGCCUCCCGGUGCGACCCCGGCUGCGACUCGGAUCCGUUUAUUCCAAAUGUCCCAGCCCACGCCGUGCCCAGAGUGUGGCGACACGAGGCCAAACUGCGUAUGUAUCUGUGUCCAUGUCUACACACACACGCAUGCGUGCAUUUCUAGGGCUUGCUGGAUCGCAGGUGCACAGAAUAAACGCGGUGCCUGCUUGUAAAGCGCGUUUAAGAUCAUUCUUGGCUGAAAUAUGUGCGGGUACCUAGGGAGUGGGGUAAGAGAGGGACUCGUGGUGGGGGGCGGGUAAGUGCCUUUUUCACAACCUGCCCCAGAGAAAUACACGAAAUUACAUCGGGAGUGGAAUCGAGCGUCCCUCUCAGCUAAAAAUAUUACUCACAGGUAGCAACGACGCCUGAUUGGCUGCGCUGGUCCCUUCGCAACGAGGCGAUUGGCUGCCUGGUAUCCAGGAGACCGACGUCAAACUCGGACUGGGAAAAGGGGAAAGUCUGGGGGGAGCGAAGGAGGGGACGGGGAGAAAGAAGCAAUGAAUGAAACGCCCAUCGCCUGGCCUUCCCCUUUCCCCUUUCCCCUCUCCUCUCCAUUCUUGGAGCACUUCCUGGAAAAACACCAGUUGGGGCGCCGCCUUCCCCUCCAAACGUUGGGGCCUGCACUCUCAACCUGCUAUAAGGAAGUUAAACCGCAGCUCACCGAGGAGUAGGGUGUCUACGGGGCGGGCCCGUGUAGACCAGCUGUGCUCCUCGGGCACAAACCCGCCGUACAUGCCAGGCCUAGAAGCUUUUGGCUUUGUGGACGCAAAAUCUGGUUGGAGCCGCCUUCUCCACCCUGACUCUCCCGCCUCUCCUUUUUAGAAGGAACCGCACUGAGAAAGGGUAUUUCUGAAGGCUCAAUGCGUAGGAGAAGGGGUGGGAAGAUGGGUUUGUGGAAUGGGCUGAGGGUGGGGAGUGGUCAGGUGACUGAUUUCAUGUUUAUUGUACAGAUUCCUAAAACAUAGUUUUACUAAGUGACUCCUUAAAUUCUGAUUAAUGUGAUUUUUUUUUUUUUUUGAGUGUUUGGGUUUUUUAGUUGCAAACAGGAGUGGAAUUGAAAUGUGAAAGUAUGGCAAAACUGUGAAAGCAUUUAAAUUAAAAUGUCCCUUCCUCUGCAUUGAAAUGUCAUCAAAGCGUCAAAUAUAAAUGAUUUGUUCAGUUUUCUUUUUUUAUUUGUUUGUUUUUGGUUUUCUGUAAUGACAAGUCCAUCUGUAAUAAAAGUGAGUUAUUUUUAGUUUUCUAAUUAAGCACAGAAAUUUCAAGAAACUAGACAGGAUAUCCUUGGAAUGCCUUACCAAAAGAAACACUUCAUUUUUCACGUGUUCUAGAAGCACAACUUCUUUUACCAUUAGGCAAAUAAUGGUACUGUACCAAACAUCUAGAACUGCGGGACCAUGUGUCUUGAUUAGUAAUUUUAUAUUGGGGGGGCAUAUUAGGCAUGGCUGAGACUAAAAUGUCUAAAGAUAGAUGAAUUGUAAUUUUGUCAAACUUAUCUGUACUUUUCAAUAAUUCUCUAAAGAGAAGGGACAAGUUCUCUUUUCUGAAUGUCUUCAAUCUGUAAUUCCAGAUUUGAAAUAUGAGAGCAGUCAUCUGAUAGGUACUGAUUAAAUAUCAGUAGCAUUAAAAGCAUUUUUAAGUCAGAAAUGUAGAUGUCAAAAAUUUAUGAGUUAUUGCUGCUUGGCCUAGGAGUGUAAGAAGAUGUCUGACCAAAUAUAAACACACACACACACACCACACAAACAACACACACGGAGGCCCCAUGGCAUACUGGAAAAAGCAAUGAAGGGUGGGUACUGGGAGGUCUGAGUUUCACACCAGUUUCAAUAAACUUUUAGUUUUCUCACCUAUAAAAAGGGUUGAAUUAGAUCAUAUCUAAUGUCUCCUUCAAUUAAAAAAAAAUUCCACACUUGGCUGGGAGCAGUGGCUUACGCCUGUAAUCCCAGCACUUUGGGAGGCUGAGGCAGGCAGAUUACCUGAGCUCAGGAAUUUGAGACCAGCCUGGCCAACACGGUGAAACCCCGUCUCUACUGAAAAUACAAAAAUUAGCCGGGUGUAGUGGCACACGCCUGUAAUCCCAGCUACUUGGGAGGCUGAGGCAGGAGAAUUGCUUGAGCCUGGGAGAUGGAGGUUGCAGUGCGCCGCGAUCGUGCCACUGCACUCCUGCUGGCCGACAGAGCGAGACUCUCUCUCAAAAAAAUAAAUAAAUAAAAUAUUCCGCCCUUAAAACUCAAUGUUCCUAACAUAUAUACUGCAGCUGUUCUUCAAAUACAGAUUGCAAGUCAGGGCGCGGUGGCUCUCGCCUGUAAUCCCAGUACUUUGGGAGGCCAAGGUGGGUGGAUCAUCUGAGGUCGGGAGCUCGAGAUCAGCUUGACCAACAUGGAGAAACCCUGUCUCUACUAAAAAUACAAAAUUAGCCUGGCAUGGUGGCGCAUGCCUGUAAUCCCAGCUACUCGGGAGGCUGAGGCAGGAGAAUCACUUGAACCCG